rnacentral:ncRNA from 1 species
UUCAUCAAGAGCGUCGGAGGGACUGGCCCAGGGAAGACGCGGCAACCCCAUUGGAAGGUGCCAAAUCCAGCGAGAUAUCUCGGAAGAUGAG